rnacentral:rRNA from 1 species
UACGUAGGUGGCGAGCGUUGUCCGGAAUUACUGGGCGUAAAGAGUGCGUAGGCGGAUAUUUAAGUGAGAUGUGAAAUACCCGGGCUUAACCCGGGCACUGCAUUUCAAACUGGAUAUCUAGAGUGCGGGAGAGGAGAAUGGAAUUCCUAGUGUAGCGGUGAAAUGCGUAGAGAUUAGGAAGAACACCAGUGGCGAAGGCGAUUCUCUGGACCGUAACUGACGCUGAGGCACGAAAGCGUGGGUAGCAAACAGGAUUAGAUACC